CGUCUAAGGUUAACAACAUUAAAAUCUGUACUCGUAAUAUUUUAAAAAAAAAAAAACAUUAAAUUAUUGUUUAAACGUUUAAAAUAUCGCUCACAAUUAAUUAAUUAAAGCAAAAUUAAUGGUAUUUUCUAAGCAGAAAAGCACACAAAUAAUGAAACCAAUAGCGUACUCCGUUUCAUACUCCCUAAUUUAAAUUUAAAAGUAUAUUUUUUUUUAAUGCAAAUUACUCGGAGUGAUUUGCUAUUUCAUAUGCUAUUGGUUUGCUUAGUUAUCCGCUUGUCGCUUAGAAGUACAGUAGACUAUACUAAGUAAGAAAUCUAGCGGAUGGCUGGAAGUAAUUUGCAUAAAAAUAAAUAAUUUAUAAAAUAUACAAUUGUAAAAAUAUAUUUUAAGAUUGAUUGAAUUUUUUUAUUAUUUUUAUUUUUAUUUUUUUAGCAAGAAUUUAAGGAAUAAGAGAAAUCUUAGUGAAUGUUAAUCAGCUAGAUGCCAUUGUUGACUACCAGAGAUGGAUGAGUAAUGGUUUUUCUACGUGCUUCUAGAUGAUUGACUAACGGUAGCAAAUGUACAUUCACAGAAUAUCCUUAAGGAUAAUGAAGAAUAUAUUAAUCUACACCCGUAAAAAUUCGCAAGAAAUGUCUUUGCUUCCUAUUUUUCCUUCCAUCUUUUAAUCGAAUCUAAUGAUGCGGAUGCUGCGUGGAUACGAGUGAUGAGGAUGCUGUUAUUUGAUAAAAAUUGAUAAACUCGUUAUUAAUACAAGAGAAGGAGAGAGCGAAUGCAAGCUGAAGAUACGAAGAAUUACAUAAACUUCUAAGAUUAAAAUGCUAAAUCUCGUCGGUGAUUAGCAGUUAUAUUAUGAAGAGAAUUCAAGUUUUUUCUCCUCUUAAAUCAUCGUUUAAUUUUAAAUAACUUAGUUACGUCUUAUCGUAAGUUUAGCUCUGGAAUAGGUUUGAAAAGGUGUAUUGACAUAAAACGUCUCUCAGGAGAAUGGGAUGAAAAGAGAGCUGAAUGAAAGAUUUAACUGAAUAUGUUGAGAAGGACCC